GACGAACGCUGGCGGCGUGCUUAACACAUGCAAGUCGAACGGACAGGCCCUGCUUUUGUGGGGUGCUCGAGUGGCGAACGGGUGAGUAACACGUGAGUAACCUGUCCUUGACUUUGGGAUAACUUCAGGAAACUGGGGCUAAUACCGGAUAGGAGCUCCUGCUGCAUGGUGGGGGUUGGAAAGUUUCGGCGGUUGGGGCUGGACUCGCGGCUUAUCAGCUUGUUGGUGGGGUAGUGGCUUACCAAGGCUUUGACGGGUAGCCGGCCUGAGAGGGUGACCGGCCACAUUGGGACUGAGAUACGGCCCAGACUCCUACGGGAGGCAGCAGUGGGGAAUAUUGCACAGUGGGCGGAAGCCUGAUGCAGCAACGCCGCGUGCGGGAUGACGGCCUUCGGGUUGUAAACCGCUUUCGCCGGUGACGAAGCGUGAGUGACGGUAAUGGGUAAAGAAGCACCGGCUAACUACGUG
rnacentral:rRNA from 1 species